rnacentral:rRNA from 1 species
GUAGGGUGCGAGCGUUAAUCGGAAUUACUGGGCGUAAAGCGUGCGCAGGCGGUUUUGUAAGCCAGAUGUGAAAGCCCCGGGCUUAACCUGGGAAUGGCAUUUGGGACUGCAAGGCUGGAGUUUGGCAGAGGAGACUGGAAUUCCUGGUGUAGCAGUGAAAUGCGUAGAUAUCAGGAGGAAUACCGAUGGCGAAGGCAGGUCUCUGGGCUAUAACUGACGCUCAUGCACGAAAGCGUGGGGAGCAAACAGGAUUAGAUACCCUGGUAGUCCACGCCCUAAACGAUGAUGACUAGUUGUUGGAGGAGUUAAAUCCUUUAGUAACGCAGCUAACGCGAGAAGUCAUCCGCCUGGGGAGUACGGUCGCAAGAUUA